rfam:Hordeum vulgare subsp. vulgare, WGS project CAJW01000000 data, contig: morex_contig_222686
AACAUAUUACCAUCGUCCCAAAAUACUUGUCUUAGGUUUGUUUAAAAAUGGAUGUAUCUAAAUAAUAAAAUAUGACUAGAUACAUUCAUAUCUAGACAAAUGUAAGACCAGAAUUUUGAGACGGAGCGAGUACUUA